AGUGAACGCUGGCGGUAGGCCUAACACAUGCCAGUCGAACGGCAGCACAGUAAGAGCUUGCUCUUACGGGUGGCGAGUGGCGGACGGGUGAGGAAUACAUCGGAAUCUACUUUUUCGUGGGGGAUAACGUAGGGAAACUUACGCUAAUACCGCAUACGACCUACGGGUGAAAGCAGGGGAUCUUCGGACCUUGCGCGAUUGAAUGAGCCGAUGUCGGAUUAGCUAGUUGGCGGGGUAAAGGCCCACCAAGGCGACGAUCCGUAGCUGGUCUGAGAGGAUGAGCAGCCACACUGGAACUGAGACACGGUCCAGACUCCUACGGGAGGCAGCAGUGGGGAAUAUUGGACAAUGGGCGCAAGCCUGAUCCAGCCAUACCGCGUGGGUGAAGAGGGCCUUCGGGUUGUAAAGCCCUUUUGUUGGGAAAGAAAAGCAGCAGGUUAAUACCCCGCUGUUCUGACGGUACCCAAAGAAUAAGCACCGGCUAACUUCGUG
rnacentral:rRNA from 1 species